rnacentral:snoRNA from 1 species
CUCCAGUGACGAGCCGAAAUUAGUGCCACGUCUCUGGGCCACUGAUCCAAGUGACUGAGGAGCUGAAGAG